rnacentral:lncRNA from 1 species
UCCUAGUUUUUUUUUUUUUUUGCCUACACAAAUUUGGAUGUGUGUCUGUGGUUUCAUGGGAGAUGUACCUCUAUAAAAUUGAGCAAGCUCUGGCGGUGAGAAGUUAUGUGAGGACACAAACAUGAAAAUAUGUGUUGUUUUUUUUCUUUUCAACCAUGAAGCAAACUUUUUUGAAUGAUGCAAUCUAUGAGGAAAUGGACUGUCCUUUCAACAAAAACAAGGCCUUUCUGGAAAACAACUAAAAGAAGCUGUCUCGUCAUUGUUCUGCGGAAUGUGUGCCAUCAUGAUGACUCAUUGCUGGGACAAAGCAGCACGGGGGCUUUUCUUGCAACACUCCAUGGGAGCAGGUAAGACGAGGAGCUUUUUAUUGAACCCCCCCCAGUAGGAUUUUGGUUAUUCUUCUAAUGCAGAAAAGUUGAUGAAAAGAGCUUUUUUUUUCUUCUCUUAAACAACUUACCAUUAUUUCUGGCCGGCAGCCAAGUGGGUGACUGUGAUAUAUUUCCCUGCUGUGUCUGCUGUAUCCACGGUAGCUGCAGCACACAGGAACAGCAUGCUGCAGCCCCAGAGCUGUGAGGAGAAAGUUGAAGGCUUUAUCCAUUCCUUUAUUCGUUCAAGCGACCAUUUCCAAUGACACGACUAUGUAAAUGCAAGUAAAUGUAAGUUUUGGGCUUCCGUGUUCAAAACUCAUGUUUCUAUGACCAUUUAAUGGCUCUACAUCUUGAACGAACGUUAAAAGUUAAACCAAGUUGAACUUUGACCAAUCUGGGACUCGUAUUUGCUAGUGAUGCAUGGAUGGCGGCUCUUCUAAUAAGUGGAUGUGCCAACCGUUGGAAAAUUUAUUAUGGAGGAGAAAUUAAUGUUUGCGGUUUGUGCCCAGCCAGACAUAUAUGACACCAAGUCCCUCAUAUAUUAGAAUAGAACUGUGAAAGCUCGGCGCAAGAUUCACAAAAGUUGCACUGCUUCAACAUGUCAAAUCAAUCAUCCUCCAAUUGAUGGUGGUGGCCAUGCGCUAGUAAACAGUAGAAAACGAAAAAGAAGAAGCCCCUCCCUGCUUGUCCAGUGUGAACACCAUGGGCUAAAGGUUGUGUUCAAGAAUGUGCGUGCAUUCUGUGUCUCCGUUGCCCCAGAGCUAUCCUCAUCUACCGUCGUCUUAUUUCAAGGUAUUAGAUGUCAGGAGAGGCUGUUUCUCUAAGCUAAGUGUUCCAGUUUUAUCUAGUUACCUGUUUGCAGUUGUUAGUUAAUAAUUCUUUAGAGGUCGUUAACUGAAGAGAGAAGGUUAACAUACAUUGACCAGAGAGGAUUGUGGAUGAACCCCUGGAGGCAAAACACAGAGAUUUCUGUGAGACAGCAGAGCUCUAAUUGGCCUCGAGAGCUUUGCAAGUAAACAGGAAAACCAUUUUAAA